GGACUUCGUGGCACGGAUUGCAAGAGGCCCCUACUCUGGCAAGGACUUGACUCAGGGAAAUUCUUUCUGUCCUUUCUUACUAGAAAAGGCAUAAAUUGGAGGUGAGCCUCCUUGAUUAGAAUGGGCACAAUGGCUGGUGGCCACGAGACCCAGAAGAGGUCACUGGUGGUGUUGCUUCCCAGACAGCCAGCCAAUGUUGGUGAGACUACAGUGAAAAGAGGCAGAUUGAACUAACCAGACCUGGGACUUGUCUUCAUCUGCAAACGGUAGUAACAGCGGUUAACCCCCUGAGCGCUUCUGACAUGCUGAACGCUGUUCCAAGCCCUGCUCUAAUGCAUCGAAGGCAUGUUCUAAACAUGCAUUAUCUAAUAACGCUAUUCCCGAGUUUACAGAUGAAGAAUCACAGCCACUAAGAGAUGACAUCACUUGGUGAAGGUCACAUAGCUUCUGGGGCCAGGGUUCUGUUUUGCCUUUGUGAAGAACAGUGAACAUGCUCUGCACUUUUCUAAAGUAGAAAAAUGAGCUGAUGUCAGGGAUUCUUUCAAGAAGGCAAAUUUCAGAGCUGUUGCUGAGAUCACGACCCAUUCAGCAAAGUGUCCCAAACGCUGAAUGCACUUCUGAGUCUCUGGUUUCACUUUGCAGCACUCGGCAUAACUGAUGCUCCCAAUAAUGACCUUCAACCACCAAGGAAACGUUCAUUUAUAUUUUGCAAGCUCUGUUUAAUGGAUGAAGGAGUAACAAGUUUUAAAAAAGAUUUUGAUCAACACGGUGGCUCAUGCCUGUAAUCCCAGCAGUUUGGGAGGCCGAGGCGGGUGGAUCACUUGAGAUCAGGAGUUCAAGACCAGCCUGGCCAAUAUGGCGAAACCCUGUCUCUACUAAAAAACAUGAAAAUUAGCCGGGUGUGAUGGCGGGUGCCUGUAGUCUCAGUUACUCAGGAGGCUGAGGCAGGAGAAUCGCUUGAACCUGGGAGGUAGAGGUUGCAGUGAGCCGAGAUCACGCCACUGCACUCCAGCUUGGGCGACAGAGUGAGACUCUGAUUCACACACAAACCAAAAAAAAAAAAAAAAAAAAAAAAAAAGAUUUUGAUCAAAACCAAAUCACUAAAGUUAAACACUUGAAAGAAUUAACCCUGUCUUUGUAAAGCUUGGCUACCCUGGUAACUCAUGCCAGGGACACUUAGCUUUAAAAUUGUCCCCUCUGGAGGGGCUUUGCUCUUAUGCCACAAGUAUUGCUGCUGCGUCUGCGAAACAGGAAGGAGCAGCAUCUCCCCAUUAUUUCCCUGACGAGUACCCCUAGAAGAUGGUGGAGUCCACGUGGUCAAGUUCUCUUUCUUCCACUGGCCUAAGUCUGAAAUUCCCCAAACACCUGGAGCCUUGCAAUGCUGGGCAGCCGGCAGUUUCCCCAGCAGUUGCCCUGGCAUCUUGCCCCCUUUACACAAAGCAAUCACUGUUGCAGAAAAUGAGGGUCCUGUGAUCAUUUGGCUCCACCCCCCUGCCUGGCAUUUGCGUGGGAGAAGGGACUUUCUUUCUUUUUGACAAUAGAUUCUGAUCACAAACCAGGCCCCUUUCAGAGAAACAGCUCCCAUGGAAUGACUCUGCCUAGAGAGACGGGAUUUCACCAUGUUGCCCAGGCUGUUCUUGAACUCCUGCCCUCAAGUAAUCCUCCCGCC
rnacentral:lncRNA from 10 species